UCUAAUACCUGUUCCCUUAUUGCAGAUUUCAAAUAAGAUGAUAGACUGGGAGUGCAGGGUGUAAAAAGAUUCAUCGUUCAAGACUCCACCUCCUCAGACACCACAGACUAGAACAUAGACACUGCUCAAAAAUAAGUCCACUUCCAUCUUGAAGAUUCUGAAGUGCACAUUGAGAAAGAGCCACUGGAGCAAUAUACGGUUGUGCGUUACAGCUCUAAUGGCCAAAUGCAUAGUGACCCAGUGAAUGUCUCUGUUGUUCUUGAGGACGAAUUGGUCACCACCCACAACCAACUUCCAGAGGCGUUUCUUGUCCUGUUUGGAUUCCUGUAUGCUUUUCACAUACAUAUUCCUAAAGGACUUGCAAAAACAUUGGUAUUUGUGCAAAAAACUUUUGCUUGGCAUGGAAGAUGGGAAACUGUCUCCUAGCCUGCAAACCUUAAAGAACGAGUUGAUGUGAAGCAUAACUUGUACUACCUCA